CCGCCGCACCGCGCUGCUCCGCGCAGCUGCCUGGUUACCGAGCACAACACGCCGCGCCGCCCCGCCCCGCCGGCCCGCGGCGAGGAAGCAGGUUAAGAGCAUGAGUAUUCACCUCAAUGAGAGCAUCUUCACAGCAAAAGCUCAGACUUCAUACAGUAAUACUACUAUUGUUUGAAGCCGUUCAGCAAAGUACUUGCUAGUGAAGAAGAGACUGACACACUCAUCUUGUUACAACCUCCUGGCUCAGAUUCAGUGGUUCUUAACCAGCAUCUUCAGGUCCUUUUCUGCCAGGCCACUUUCCAGCUACUCUUCCCCAAGACUGUAGCACUGCCUGGGGUUGUUGUGCCCCAGAGGCAGGACUUGGCACUUGGCCUUAUUGAUUUGCCUCAGCCCAGCCUGUCCAGAUCCCUCUGCAGAGUCCUCCAGCAGAUCCUCACUCCCUCCCAGCCUGGUGUCUCAACUGCAAACUGACUGAGGUUGCACUUGAUCCCCUCACCUCAAAUAAUUGAUAAAGAUAUGAAAUGAAGGAGAGGAACUGACGCCAGUACUGAGACCUGGGGAACGCCACAUUUAUCUCUGAACCAAAGCUCUCUGUUCAGCCAGGGCGGUCUUUCCUGCUGGCUCAUCUUUCAGCACAUUGGGACAGCCUGCUCCUGCACAUUCAAGAUUUCCUUCCUGAAGAAUGACUAGCCUUCCUGGACUCCUUUGCCUUUCAGGACUGCCUCCCUAGGGACUGUCAGCAAGUCUCCUAAACAGGCCAAAGUCCCUCCAGAAGUCCAAGGAAGCUGAAAUCUCUCCUUACUUCUCCAAGAAUCUAUACACUGUAAAACUGCAUGAUUUUUUUCUGUAUAGUUUUGUAUGCUGUACUUAAGUGUUUAUGUUUUAUAUUUGAAUGUAACAAAACCUGGGUGAAGUAACUUCGAAAAUAAAAUAAAGAUACAACUAGAAGCCAGAUAAUAUAUUCCCUUUAGCAUGAAUUGUACUGAAUUACAUGAAAUACAGCAACACACCAUUUGUCUUCCCUUCCAUUGUGCUGAAAUAAAUAAAUAGAGUGGGAUGACAUUACACAAAAUUAGGUGGGAGUGGAAAAAAAUCAGGAAAAAAUCAUCUACUAAACUAGUAUAUUAUACUGUGAUAUGUGAUCCAUUCUUGUAAGUGAAGUUAUCAAAAUUUUAACAGCUUAGAGAUAAUUAGGAUUUAUAUGUACUGAAUGAGCUCAGUCUAGCAUAUGGCAAGAGUCGAGCUAAAACAAAUGGCAUUUAUUUCCAGUGUUAGUCACCCCAUUUUUGUCAAGAAAGUCAUUAUAUCUUUUUAAAAUGUAUUGUUUUGACAAUUUUCUCUUGUUUAUGCUUCACAAGUUGCACUAAAUUGGAAAAGAAAAUACUAAAAUCUCAAACUACUAUACAAGAUUGAAAAGUGUCAAUAUUGUCUAAAAUAGGACUCAAAGGUUAUUACUUGAAGGUCUUAAUCAAGCAGAAGAGCUGCCAGCCUAAGAAUUGCACUAGAAGUUGUCCAAUCCAGCAGCUGAAUAGCAGUAAGGCUGCCACAGGUUCCCAACCCUACAUCCAGCCAGCAGCAAAGUUGAGAGUGCUCAGCUCCCAGUAGGUGCUCAUCCUAACAAUGUGCAUGCACGGGAAUGUGUGGCUGCAUGCACAGUUCAGCAGGGACCAAAACCACAGCCCUCAUACUGGCACUUGUCAUGGGACCAGCCUGAUUCUGCCUUAUCAAGGUGAAAGCCUGAGAGCAGAAUAUACAUGCAAGUACAUAUAGAGGCAUAAAGGGUGAACCCCUGCUGUAGUUGAUGUUAAACACUCCAUUGUGCCAGCAUUUGGCCCCUGGAUCCCAGUCGGCCCAGCCCCUGAGGUCUGAGUCCUGCUCCACUGGCAGGUAAAGACCCAUUGACCCAUCAACAAACACUACUGCUUUUUACAGGACACAUUUUGUCCCCUUAGCCUUUCACCUUUGUGCCUCCAGCCCCUUGUGUGUUGUGGAGAUUAAUCUUUAAACACAUAACCUAACAGUUUCUAACAAUGCUUUGGCAUAGAAAAAUAAUAAAAUUUAAAUAAAAUCAGUUUAAAAAUUCAGAUGAACAUGGUAAGAGUAAAUUCCUUGUAAUGAACCAGUAGUACAAAGCAGUCAUGAUCAGAUUGUGCCACCCUGUGGACUGUGUCAAAGAGCUGUUUCCUUUAGUGCUGGGCUAAAAACAUGCUGUAGGAACAGGCCGAGAAAUUCUCAGCCACCAAAGCAAAAAUAAUUUUGAGUUUCCUUACAUUCUAAUAGAGACAAGAUGUCUUCUUGAACUGUGCCUUUGAAUAGCACUGGGCAGAUUUUGAGCUGGCACCAAUCUCAAACAAACGUGGACAAAUAUCUUAUCAGGAAAAGUCAUAAUACCUUCGUGAAUUAUCUUCCUGUUAUGUAACACUAGGCAGAAUAAUUCAGUUUCUUUACUUGCUUGGAGAUACAUGUAUGAGCAGAAAAACAAUCUCUCUUAAAUUAUAAAGAAAUCAAAAUAAUUGCCUGUCUGAAUAUUACAGUAUUACAGUCAAACAACAAAUCCUUGCGGUAAAAACAAUAAACAAGAUGGAAACCACAGCGUAUGACAGUGGCCACAGUAAAACGAUGAUUUGGAGCUAAAAUAAAAGACUAAUCUGGUAGGAAGAGAGGGCUCAUGGGUAAGUUUGGGUUUUUAGACAAUGUGGAGCUGUCUUUUAAGUUCUAAUCUGAAAAGAGGUCUAAACAGAAAUUGAGAACAGGGCAUUUAAUAAGGGGUGAGAAGCUUGGUGUGCCACAUGAGGCAGCUACAGCAUCUUAAAAGCACAAACUAAUGUUGUCAAAACAUGAGAAGGCAGGUGGUAUCAGUCAGAGAUUGGAGAAAGCAUUAUUUUUCUAAGAAGAAAUGGAAAUUGAACCUCUUUACUUAGUUCUUAUAAGCAGCAUAUGGGUCUAGUGGGAGGCUAAUCUCCCUGAUAAUACAAAAAUCUACGUGGAGGAAACCCUGGCCCUAUGAUUUUUCAUAAUCUGUAAUUAAUAUACUGAAGAUUCUUGUGAUCACUAUCAUUACUUAGCUAUUGGCUGACUGACAGUGGCUAUUCUCGGUCACUGUCAUUAUACUUGGAGUUUUAAAGCUAUAUUACCUGACUUCUAUAGUGGUCUGAAUACAAAACACAUGAAAAAAAAAAUUAAAUAUCUAAAAUAUGUCUAAUAUGAUAAAUAUUUUAAAUGACAAGGCAUGUAUUUGAGCUACUAAACAUUGUUAUGUGAGUAAAGGAAUUUAUUCAAAAUCUUUCCUGACAUAAUUUUGUAUGUGCCUCAAACUCAUGAGGUAAGAGAACCAUCUUGGUAUUCAUGAGAACUUCCAAGGGCAGAAGUCUGCCAUCUCUGUGAAAUUAAUGAUAUCAGGUAUUAUUUUCUAUCAUUUGAUGUUUACAGGUAGCACCAGAAUUUCUUCUCAAAUGUUAGGAUUCUUUUAUGAGACAUCAAUGUUUUUUAUCAUGUUCGUUUUCAUUCAGGAACUUGAAGCUCUAUGUCUUGUCUAAUAGCAUUUAAUGAGUAGGAAGCAUGUUGUUUUCUAUGAAAGCAGAUGGUGUUGUUUAAAACAGUAUUGCAAUUUCUGUAAAAAAAAUACUUAUUUAGAAUAAGAGUUUUAAGAAUAAUAUUACGUAAUAAAGAGACAAUGAAAAAUAA